CCCUUAGAUGUUCUGGGCUGCACGCGCGCUACACUGAAGCUAUCAACACGUUUUCCCUCCCUGAGAAGGGCGGGUAACCUUUUGAAUCAGCUUCGUGGUAGGGAUCGGGGCUUGCAAUUGUUCCCCGUGAACCAGGAAUUCCUAGUAGACGCGAGUCAUAAGCUCGCAUCGAUUAAGUCCCUGCCCUUUGUACACACCGCCCGUCGCUACUACCGAUUGAACGUUUUAGUGAGGCAUUUGGACCGACGCAUCUCAGUUUAACCGCUGGUUUGUGUUGGAAAGACUACCAAACUUGAGCGUUUAGAGGAAGUAAAAGUCGUAACA
rnacentral:rRNA from 1 species